rnacentral:tRNA from 1 species
GCGCCCGUAGCUCAGCUGGAUAGAGCGCUGCCCUCCGGAGGCAGAGGUCCAGGUUCGAAUCCUGUCGGGCGCGCCA